GGUUUGAUUAUGGCUCCAGAUUGAACGCUGGCAGGAUGCUUCACACAUGCAAGUCGAACGGCAGCACGGACUUCGGUCUGGUGGCGAGUGGCGAACGGGUGAGUAAUGUAUCGGAACGUGCCCUAGUAGCGGGGGAUAACUACGCGAAAGCGUAGCUAAUACCGCAUACGCCCUUCCAGGAAAGCGGGGGACCUUCGGGCCUCGCACUAUUAGAGCGGCCGAUAUCGGAUUAGCUAGUUGGUGGGGUAACGGCUCACCAAGGCGACGAUCCGUAGCUGGUUUGAGAGGUUUGACCAGCCACACUGGGACUGAGACGGCCCAGACUCCUACAGGAGGCAGCAGUGGGGAAUUUUGAACAAUGGGAAACCUGAUCCAGCCAUCCCGCGUGUGCGAUGAAGGCCUUCGGGUUGUAAAGCACUUUUGGCAAGGAAAAGCAGCACAGGAUAAUACCCCGUGCAACUGACAGCCUGCAGAAUAAGCACCGGCUAACUACGUGCCAGCAGCCGCGGUAAUACGUAGGGUGCAAGCGUUAAUCGGAAUUACUGGGCGUAAAGCGUGCGCAGGCGGUUCGGAAAAGAAAGAUGUGAAAUCCAGAGCUUAACUUUGGAACUGCAUUUUUAACUACCGAGCUAGAGUGUGUCAGAGGGAGGUGGAAUUCCGCGUGUAGCAGUGAAAUGCGUAGAUAGGAGGAACACCGAUGGCGAAGGCAGCCUCCUGGGACCAAAACACUGACGCUCAUGCACAAAAGCGUGGGGAGCAAACAGGAUUAGAUACCCUGAGUAGUCCACGCCCUAAACGAUGUCAACUAGCUGUUGGGGCCUUCCGGGCCUUGGUAGCGCAGCUAACGCGUGAAGUUGACCGCCUGGGAAGUACGGUCGCAAGAUUAAAACUCAAAGGAAUUGACGGGGACCCGCACAAGCAGUGGAUGAUGUGGAUUAAUUCGAUGCAACGCGAAAAACCUUACCUACCCUUGACAUGUCUGGAAUCCCGAAGAGAUUUGGGAGUGCUCGCAAGAGAACCGGAACACAGGUGCUGCAUGGCUGUCGUCAGCUCGUGUCGUGAGAUGUUGGGUUAAGUCCCGCAACGAGCGCAACCCUUGUCAUUAGUUGCUACGAAAGGGCACUCUAAUGAGACUGCCGGUGACAAACCGGAGGAAGGUGGGGAUGACGUCAAGUCCUCAUGGCCCUUAUGGGUAGGGCUUCACACGUCAUACAAUGGUCGAGACAGAGGGUCGCCAGCACGAGGAGCCAAUCCCAGAAACCCGAUCGUAGUCCGGAUCGCAGUCUGCAACUCGACUGCGUGAAGUCGGAAUCGCUAGUAAUCGCGGAUCAGCAUGUCGCGGUGAAUACGUUCCCGGGUCUUGUACACCGCCCGUCACACCAUGGGAGUGGGUUUUACCAGAAGUAGUUAGCCUAACCGUAAGGAGGGCGAUUACCACGGUAGGAUUCAUGACUGGGGUGAAGUCGUAACAAGGUAA
rnacentral:rRNA from 1 species